rnacentral:lncRNA from 1 species
UCUACCUGUGUACCUGAAUUUUCCCAUGCUUGUAUAUUUUACCUCAAGUGGUAAUACUAUGAUAGUGACUGCAGCCUGGCAGCCUGGGCAGAUGAAGAAAAUGUUGAUCUCAGAACUGAAGAAUGGCUCUUUCAGCUGUCCUGUUACUGGAAGAAACAGGUUUAAAGAGGGGAAGGGAGAACUUUUCCUGAACUGUUACAUUCCCCAGUGCUAUAGAAACAGAAUUUUACUGCACUUGGAAGAACUCACCUCAUCCUGGUCCUUUCCGUGUGUUGGGUUGUGUAUGAGCCUUAGCAAGGGGACUACAAAGAAGGUCUUCCAAAAUGUUUCAGUUCUGUAUGCUGUGUCAUUGACUUCCAAACCAUUUUAUUUACAGAUUCAAUAAAUAAAAUGUUUAUCACAAGGUGAAAUUUAAGUUCUAUUUAAGAAAAACAAAUGAUACUAAUACAUAUGUUUAAUUUUUAUUUGAUGACCAUGCAAUGAGUGAUUAUUUAGAUGUUGUAUCAUAUGCUAAAAUUAAUUUAUUUGUUUUCAUAUUUAUUUCUUUUAUUUAUGCAUUUGAGUUAUA